rnacentral:rRNA from 1 species
GCAACCUGGUUGAUCCUGCCAGUAGUCAUAUGCUUGUCUCAAAGAUUAAGCCAUGCAUGUCUAAGUAUAAGCCUUUACACGGUGAGACUGCGAAUGGCUCAUUAAAUCAGAAACUGUUUAUUUGAUAGUGCCUACUACUUGGAUAACCGUAGUAAUUCUAGAGCUAAUACAUGCAAAAAGCCUGGACUUCUGGA